UACGUAGGGGGCGAGCGUUGUCCGGAAUGAUUGUGCGUAAAGGGCGCGCAGGCGGCCAUUCAAGUCAGUAGUGGAAGUCCAUUUUUCAAGGGUGGAAGUGCUAUUGAAACUGUAUGGCUUGAGUGCGGGAGAGGUUAUCGGAAUUCCCGGUGUAACGGUGAAAUGCGUAGAGAUCGGGAGGAACACCAGUGGCGAAGGCGGGUAACUGGACCGCAACUGACGCUGAGGCGCGAAAGUGUGGGGAGCAAACAGGAUUAGAUACCCUCGUAGUCCCUGA
rnacentral:rRNA from 1 species